rnacentral:misc_RNA from 1 species
AAGUCGUAACAAGGUUGCUGUAGGUGAACCUUCAGCAGGAUCAUUACCGAAGUGAUGCGUCCCUUCUCGGGACGCAACUUCCAACCCCAUGUUUACCUGAAACAAAGUUGCCUCGGCGUCUGGAGCCCUCUAUUAGGGGGCUCCGCGCCGGUGGACACAACCGAACUCGUUUUUUGAACGUAUUAUGUCUGAGUCAGAUAAUUUUUAAAUUAAAAAAGCAAAACUUUCAACAAUGGAUCUCUUGGUUCCG